rnacentral:lncRNA from 1 species
CUUAGCCGCCACUAGGAACACUCAAGUUUUGUUAGAUGUAAGUUUAGCUUUUGCUACUUCCUUGUAAGUGCGUGUGCUGGAUCAGCCACUUGUCUUCUUGUCUUCAGAACCCCACCAUAAUUGAGAUUGAUUUUGAAACCUUCAUCUACAUGUAGUAAUUCGGUACUUGUUAUACUUGUCCUUGCUAGUUCUUUGAUUGCUUGCAGGACAAGUGCCC